UACGUCGGGGGCAAGCGUUGUCCGGAAUCAUUGGGCGUAAAGAGCGUGUAGGCGGCCCGGUAAGUCCGCUGUGAAAGUCCAGGGCUCAACCCUGGGAUGCCGGUGGAUACUGUCGGGCUCGAGUCCGGAAGAGGAGUGUGGAAUUCCCGGUGUAGCGGUGAAAUGCGCAGAUAUCGGGAGGAACACCUAUGGCGAAGGCAGCUCGCUGGGACGUUACUGACGCUGAGACGCGAAAGCGUGGGGAGCAAACAGG
rnacentral:rRNA from 1 species